CCAAGGAGUCUUGCGUAUGCGCGAGUCACUGGGUGGAAAACCUAAAGGCGCAAUGAAAGUAAAGACCGGCUUUCGAUCGGUUGAUAUGGGAUACGUUGUCAUUCGUGUGCGUCGCACCAUAGCCCCGUUCUCGAUGGCUUGCCAUGGGGCGGAGGUAGAGCUAUACGGCAAGGACCCGAAAGAUGGUGAACUAUACGUGAGCAGGACGAAGCCGGAGGAAACUCCGGUGGAGGUCCGUAACGAUUCUGACGUGCAAAUCGAUCGUCUGACUGGCGUAUAGGGGCGAAA
rnacentral:rRNA from 1 species